rnacentral:rRNA from 1 species
UACGUAGGGUGCAAGCGUUAAUCGGAAUUACUGGGCGUAAAGCGUGCGCAGGCGGUUUUGUAAGUUUGUCGUGAAAGCCCCGGGCUCAACCUGGGAAUUGCGAUGAAGACUGCAAGGCUUGAAUCUGGCAGAGGGGGGUAGAAAUUCCACGUGUAGCAGUGAAAUGCGUAGAGAUGUGGAGGAACACCGAUGGCGAAGGCAGCCCCCUGGGUCAAGAUUGACGCUCAUGCACGAAAGCGUGGGGAGCAAACAGG